rnacentral:lncRNA from 1 species
CGACUGCUUGCCUUGUGGGACUAAGUAACAGCUAGAUCCUUGGACUUCCAUUCAAAGCUGCUGCUGACCAUUGUUGGGAAUUGGAUUACAGACUGUAAGUCAUCAACAAAUUCCCUUACUAUAUAGAGGCUACCCAUAAAUUCUAUGACUCUAGAGAACUGUGACUAAUACAAAUGUACUUCCUCUAACAAGGAGUCCUUGGGAACUGAGUCCUUGGGAACUGGGGAUGGUCCUAGUGUGAAGGGAGAGGGAGGCAUCCUGAUCGUUGGGCUCCUGUCUUUCCUGUGUAUUAUGCUGUGUAUGUGGCUGUACUGACCAUUUCAAAGAAUCAAUUAACUGAAGGUGACCUGCGGCUGGAAUCUUUACUGUGUUUGUUGACAGACGUCUUUAAAUCAGACUUCCGUUGCACACAGCUGUUGGAAAAACCGAAGCUGACUUUCCCCAAAGCUGGCAGUCCUACCAGGCUAUACUGUUGAGGUCCUAAAUUAUUGGGAAGUCAAUCUAAGGGGAAGAUCUCAAUCUUGGUUCAUCUCUCCUAUCUUUGAUGAUAAAAAUCUAAACCUUACACAAAAAUUUGUUAGUCCUGACUU